AUGUGUGCUGCCGCCAGGGCUGUCUUGUGCUGGAUGGUCUACUCCCGCCUUCUGGAUUAUGUCACCGGACGUCCGAAACUCCACCUUUCCGGCUCCAGGACCAGAGUGGCCCUGGCACAGGAAACCCUUUCGUUUGCUUUUCAUUCGACCGUGCCGGGAAACGCCUCCGUCCGCAGGAAUGAGUUUGAGUGCUUCUUCGGUCACAAGAAGGUGUACAGCCUGGUGACCAGCAGCCCCAACACGAGCUUUUCCAUCAGCCUACGCAACAGCUCGGAGUCUGGAGAGUACUACUGCACGCGGUACGGUGCUCAGGCGCACUGGGUCAUCCUGGUUCGAGACGAGGGCUACCAGGAAGGCGACGGGGAGACUCUGGAGACUCUGGCUCCAGUGUUUCUUUUGAUAGUCCUCCUGUUCAUCUUCAGCCUAGCCGGAUCCAUAUACACAUUCAAAAGGGAGAAGAGCCAGUCAGAGUCACGCCAUGCCCAGGAUGGCGGUGGUGCUGGUGGUGGCAGGGGCAGCAGUAGUGAGGCAAGGCCUGAAGAGGACGUUGGCCCUUCAUCACUCUACGCUGCGCUGGAGUCCCGCCCGGCUUCCAUUUAUGAUGUUCUGAAUAAAUCGGCGAUGAGGAGCCAGAGAGGACCGAGUCAAGAACACAGAAAGGAGAUCAAGACUACAUCAACUGAAGGGGAGAUUUUUGAAUCAGUCUAUGAAAAUUUGUGAUGUGUAACACAACAUGUAUAAUGGUCUAAAUUAGACAUCUGUACUGAAUCUGUUUUACGUUUUACAGUUGAAAAUGUGGAUGUUCAUGUUGCUAAUUUAUUCAUGUUGACAUGCAAAAUGUAAUUGAUGAAUUCAAAUAAUGGUACAGUGCAGAUACAUUUUAUGUUUAUUCCAGUGUGUAUUCAUCACUUCUUGUACUGUAACAAACACAUUUCUGAAUACAUAUAUGGCAAUGUAUUCAAAUUCAGCCAUCACUGUUUUUUUUUUUUAUUAUUCAUAUUUGUCUAUAUGUAGGGAACACCGGGUCUGCUUUGUGUCAGACUCAGCCAAACUCUGUAGACUGUUUGGUGCAGUGCAUUAGUAGGUACGACACCGGAGUAAAGCAGCUGCGGCUGAGCAGGGCGUCACAGAAAUGUUGUUUGGGGUCAUUCAUUUAAGAUAUGGACGUACGGUUUCAUGUCUUGAAUUAAGUCAUGGUUGAAUAUCCAGG
rnacentral:lncRNA from 1 species